AACGAGUCGCAAGCUCGCGAGAGUAAGCUAAUCUCUUAAAGCCGUUCUCAGUUCGGACUGUAGGCUGCAACUCGCCUACACGAAGUCGGAAUCGCUAGUAAUCGCGGAUCAGCAUGCCGCGGUGAAUACGUUCCCGGGCCUUGUACACACCGCCCGUCACACCAUGGGAGUUUGUAACGCCCAAAGUCGGUGGCCUAACCUUUAUGGAGGGAGCCGCCUAAGGCGGGACAGAUGACUGGGGGUGAAGUCGUAACAAGGUAUC
rnacentral:rRNA from 1 species